UACGGAAGGUCCAGGCGUUAUCCGGAUUUAUUGGGUUUAAAGGGAGCGUAGGCUGCCCCUCAAGCGUGUUGUGAAGUGUACCGGCUCAACCGGUGAAUUGCAGCGCGAACUGUGGGGCUUGAGUGUGCAGAAAGUAGGCGGAAUUCAUGGUGUAGCGGUGAAAUGCUUAGAUAUCAUGAAGAACUCCGAUUGCGAAGGCAGCUUACUGCAGCACAACUGACGCUGAGGCUCGAAAGUGCGGGUAUCGAACAGG
rnacentral:rRNA from 1 species